rnacentral:lncRNA from 1 species
GUGCUGACUGGAAAGCGGGAUGGGGACUUGUAUCCCGUCUGCUACAGCAGUGGAGGUACGGGAGCUCUGAAGUGGACGCAGCGUGAAGACAACAGGAUACCUUCUGGUGGUGAUGCAGUGUGUGCUGCCGUGGGUAUCGGAGCUGAACGUGCAGCACUUUGGCACCGAAGGUAUGGCCACUUAGGAUACAGCAACCUUGAGGCGUUGCUGCGUCAUGAUAUGGUAACUGGGUUCGAUGUUGACCGACACAGCAUACAAUCAGCCAGCGUGUGUGUGUGUGAGACUUGCGUCCUUGCAAAGCAUACACGUGGUCCUUUUCCGUUAACUGGGCAUAAGGCAGCGCAGCCUCUCGCGCUCAUUCACAUGGAUGUGUGUGGACCUAUGCCUGAACCUUAGUGGUUCGCGUUACGUGACAACUCUGCUUGACGACCAUACUGGUCUUUCAGCUGUUGCGUUUACAGCGACCAAGGAGGAGGUCUACCAGAAGAUGGUGGUAAUGAUAGCGGGACUGGAGCACGCUACUGGCAGGCAGGUUAAGGAGGUGUUGAGGAAACGGUCCUCUCCCAACUCGUGUGGUUGUCGACCAGGGGAUUUGACCCCGGGUCUGCGCCUGACUAUUGGGGAAGACUUACCCCAGAACCUUAUGGGGCUACCAAUGCAUAUCCGGUAGGUAAGUGAUAGACAUUAGGGCACCGUCUGGACGGCGCAGUGAGAUCGCGGAAUGUACGUGCAGUUAGAUCGCGGAAUGUACGAGUUUUCCGCUAGCGCCGGUAUUUAGGGCGGUGACUGCGCCUAUUAGUUUAUCUCACAACGAUCGGUAUUCCUACCAGGAAUCUCCUCAAGUCCUGCCGAACGCUAACAAUACUCUUUACAUUACUUGUAACAAUUUAUCGUGCUAAAUAUCUUCGCCACCGGCAAUCCUUCCGGAAUAACAAUUAGCGUUAGCUGUCACCGUCGCCAAUUCUUCAAUAGGUUAUGAGCCCCGAUUAGCGCCGACAGUUAUCGCCCAAUUGUUAUUUCUAUCCCUCAUCAACAAUGGUUAAGGACAAGCUUGAUGAGUCGCUGGAUCUCAACAACUACUCUACCUGGCAAAUUGGGUUCAGCGCGUUGUGCAUGGAGCUUGGGCUUGAGCAAUCCCUGCUCGCCGAGCCGUGCAUCGAGGAGCAAAUUCGACAGUCACGGAAGGUCAUCAAUCUGCUCAUCAAGAACGUCAAGGAUCAUCAUUUGCCGAUGGUUACCGGUGCUGCCAACGCGAAGAAGGCCUGGGACGCCUUGGGAUCUAUGUUUGCUGCCAACAACAACGCCCGCAAGGUGUCUCUACGUCAAGAAUUCAGCCGUUUUAAGAUGGUCGACGGCGAACCUCUUCCGAUGUACUUUGCGCGUGCAAGGCAGCUGCAAACAGAUUUAUUGGGAGUCGGCCACGUAGUUAACGACUCCGAGCUGGCGUACACCGUGCUAGUUGGUCUACCCAGUCGGUACAGCAUGGUGACGACUACAUUACUUAUGCGCGACGGCGAUUUGGACAUGGCGAACGUCACAGCAAAGCUUCUCUCUAUCGAGACGGCUAACGGUGGGUCGGGCAAGCCUACCGAGUCGGCAGCCUUCGCGUCUGUCGGCGGUUCGACGUUCGGCGCUUCUACUUCUGGUUAUGGUAGCCGGGGGCCGGCUAACAACAGCUCGGGACAUAGUCGGAAGCAAGUCAUCUGCUACUACUGUAAUAAACCUGGGCACGUGGUUAAGGACUGCAGGCAGCUUAAGGCGCUGAAGCAGUCGUCAAAUUCUGGCUACAAGGGUGGCUACAGCAACAGUGGUAACGGAGGUAGUGGCAGCGGAGCUAGCGGCAGCAAGCCAGGAUCCGGUNNNNNNNNNNNNNNNNNNNNNNNNNNNNNNNNNNNNNNNNNNNNNNNNNNNNNNNNNNNNNNNNNNNNNNNNNNNNNNNNNNNNNNNNNNNNNNNNNNNNNNNNNNNNNNNNNNNAUAAACAGGCCAUCACUUUCAAGAAGGUCUACGUCGACGAGGAGGCCACCGCCAAAAUCAUAUCGGUCCGCAUCAUUGAUGAUCGUGGAGGCAGUGUGGUCUUCGGCGGCGGACAGGCGAAAGUAUACGUACAGAACCAGUUGGUGCUGACUGGAAAGCGGGAUGGGGACUUGUAUCCCGUCUGCUACAGCAGUGGAGGUACGGGAGCUCUGAAGUGGACGCAGCGUGAAGACAACAGGAUACCUUCUGGUGGUGAUGCAGUGUGUGCUGCCGUGGGUAUCGGAGCUGAACGUGCAGCACUUUGGCACCGAAGGUAUGGCCACUUAGGAUACAGCAACCUUGAGGCGUUGCUGCGUCAUGAUAUGGUAACUGGGUUCGAUGUUGACCGACACAGCAUACAAUCAGCCAGCGUGUGUGUGUG